rnacentral:rRNA from 1 species
CGGGGGCCAGCAAUGGCAACCGGCGAACGGGUGCGUAACACGUGAGCAACCUACCGAAAUGAGGGGGAUAGCCGGCCCAACGGCCGGGUAAUACCGCAUACGCUCGAGACCAGGCAUUUGGACUCGAGGAAACCUCCGGGGCAUUUCGAGGGGCUCGCGGCCUAUCAGCUAGUUGGUGAGGUAACGGCUCACCAAGGCGACGACGGGUAGCUGGUCUGAGAGGAUGGCCAGCCACAUUGGGACUGAGAUACGGCCCAGACUCCUACGGGAGGCAGCAGUGGGGAAUCUUGCGCAAUGGCCUAACGGCUGACGCAGCGACGCCGCGUGAGGGAUGACGCUCUUCGGA